rnacentral:rRNA from 1 species
UACGGAGGGUGCGAGCGUUGUCCGGAAUCACUGGGCGUAAAGGGCGCGUAGGUGGCCUGUGGAAGUCUGCGGUGAAAGCCCGGCGCUCAACGCCGGGUCGGCCGUGGAUACUCUCGGGCUCGAGCUUACUAGAGGCAGAUGGAAUUCCGGGGUGUAGCGGUGGAAUGCGUAGAGAUCCGGAAGAACACCGGUGGCGAAGGCGGUCUGCUGGGGUAAUGCUGGACACUGAUGCGCGACAGCGUGGGGGAGCAAACAGG